GGUGACGCCAUUAAUCUCAGCGUCUCUUACGGAGACACAAAAAGUGAAGCGCCGGUGACGCUAUUAAUUCCUGCGUCUCUUUCACCCAUCAUUGAUUGCCGCUGCGUCUGGAAAAUAAGUAAGCUCGGAUCCUUCACCGGUGUUGGGUUACCGUAAUGAAAGGCUAAUUUAUUGCCGCUGACGCUGCGUCUAGCGGUUAUGAAACGAACAGGGCUAUU
rnacentral:lncRNA from 1 species